GGCGGCCCGGGCCGCCAGGCUCCUGCGGCCUGCCCGCUGCGGACGAGCGAUCCACGUUACCGGCGUUGGCCGGCUGGUUCGGCUUGGCCGGCCGUCC
rnacentral:tRNA from 1 species